rnacentral:rRNA from 1 species
CUGUAAUUGGAAUGAGUACACUUUAAAUCCUUUAACAAGGACCUAUUGGAGGGCAAGUCUGGUGCCAGCAGCCGCGGUAACUCCAGCUCCAAUAGCGUAUAUUAAAGUUGUUGCGGUUAAAACGUUCGUAGUUGAACUUGUGCUUCAUACGGGUAGUACAACUAUAAUUGUAGUAUGUACUAUGCCUUAUGUAUGCAAGCGUAUUGCCGGUGGAGUUCUUAUAUGCAAGUACUUUAUUUUCCUCCUAUUUAAACCUGCUUCAGUGCUCUUCAUUGCGUGCUGUUGUAGGCCGGUACAAUUACUUUGAACAAAUUAGAGUGCUUAAAGCAGGCUCCAAAUGCCUGAAUAUUUUGUGCAUGGAAUAAUGAAAUAAGACCUCUGUUCUACUUUCAUUGGUUUUUAGAUCAAGAGGUAAUGAUUAAUAGAAGCAGUUUGGGGGCAUUAGUAUUACGACGCGAGAGGUGAAAUUCUUGGACCGUCGUAAGACUAACUUAAGCGAAAGCAUUUGCCAAAGAUGUUUUCAUUAAUCAAGAACGAAAGUUAGAGGUUCGAAGGCGAUCAGAUACCGCCCUAGUUCUAACCAUAAACGAUGCCAGCUAGCAAUUGGGUGUAGCUACUAUCAUGGCUCUCUCAGUCGCUUCCCGGGAAACCAAAGCUUUUGGGCUCCGGGGGAAGUAUGGUUGCAAAGUUGAAACUUAAAGGAAUUGACGGAAGGGCACCACCAGGAGUGGA